GUCUGUUUUCUUUACCAUAGUAACACCACAAAGAAAGCUGUCCCCUUUUUCUGAUUGUUUGUGCCUCCUCUUUAAUACAUGUGACUUGUAUGUGGCAGUGCAAGCGUUGUUCCAUCAGGGAGAGUAGUAGAUUGACAAGGAGUUUCUGCGAAUCACCACAAAGCCUCUGCUAUCUACUUUCUUUGCCGAGCUUGACCAAUACGCGCCACGCUUAAUGGAAAUUUUUCUGACCAAAGGAGGGACACAGGGAAAGAAAAUAAGAGGUCUCAUGCUUGCCAUCUCCAAGGUUUGUAUUAGGAUUGAGUAGACGUUGUCAUAGGCAGCAAAAUACCUUUUAUGCAUCUUGAAGUCCUUUUGCAUCUACCUAAACGAAGACUAUGAGAAGUUAAUAAAGGAGUACUUGGAUACGGACAGCGAGGCAAAAAGCUGCAUGGAGCAAACUGUGAUGGGGAUGUACGUCAUUCAGAAGGAGGUUGCUGAACCUGAAGAUGACCCAGAGGACAUUGGUGUCCUGAUUGAGGGUGUGGAGGCUCUCACUGAUUUGGGUAACAUUGCACAACCAUGUGC